GAAAAAAUAAAGUUGAUUCAGAGUAGUAAUCCAACAUCUCGGAUGACCAAUGUAGAUGAUGCCCUUACACAGUCAAUUGUGAGUGAUAGUAGAGGGCACAUGCGGGGUAUAGGUGGAAAUGUAGGCAAGAUUGCAUUGAGGAAGACAAUCCCUAUUGUAGAUAAGCUCAAUAUGGUGAUGUAGGACCAAGAUAAUUUGAAGGAGGAAGUAGGUGAAAUGAAGAAAAUCCUGGUCGACCUCCAUAUGAAGGUUAAUUGUAUUGUAGAAAAGCAAGGGGAACAGGGGGUUGUGGAUCCACCGACAAUACCUCCAUUUAAAUAUAGUCAUGCCUUGUCGGUAUCCUGAUUUGAUACAUAUUGGCAAGAGAUGCAAUCUUUGCGAUUGGAAGAAACGGGUAGUUGCUCGUGGUGAGGUGCAUGAAGUUGAUCCAACUGCCCAUGUCCAUAGAGCAGAUCUGGGUGAAGGAAAUUUUAGUGUUGUGUUGAUCGAGAUUAAAGCUUCAGACUCAGAGUUGUGGAAGGAAGAUGGUUAUCAUCAUACACUUGGAGAGGUCGGCGUAGGAGGAUUUGUU